rnacentral:rRNA from 1 species
UACGUAGGCAGCGAGCGUUGUUCGGAGUUACUGGGCGUAAAGGGUGUGUAGGCGGUUGUUUAAGUUUGGUGUGAAAUCUCCCGGCUCAACUGGGAGGGUGCGCCGAAUACUGAAUGACUAGAGUGCGGGAGAGGUGAGUGGAAUUCCUGGUGUAGCGGUGAAAUGCGCAGAUAUCAGGAAGAACACCAAUGGCGAAGGCAGCUCUCUGGGACGGUACUGACGCUGAGACGCGAAAGCGUGGGGAGCAAACAGG